UGGGGAAUAUUGCACAAUGGGCGCAAGCCUGAUGCAGCCAUGCCGCGUGUAUGAAGAAGGCCUUCGGGUUGUAAAGUACUUUCAGUCGGGAGGAAGGUGUCAAGGUUAAUAAACUUGGCAAUUGACGUUACCGACAGAAGAAGCACCGGCUAACUCCGUGCCAGCAGCCGCGGUAAUACGGAGGGUGCAAGCGUUAAUCGGAAUUACUGGGCGUAAAGCGCACGCAGGCGGUUGAUUGAGUCAGAUGUGAAAUCCCCGGGCUUAACCCGGGAAUUGCAUCUGAUACUGGUCAGCUAGAGUCUUGUAGAGAGGGGUAGAAUUCCAUGUGUAGCGGUGAAAUGCGUAGAGAUGUGGAGGAAUACCGGUGGCGAAGGCGGCCCCCUGGACAAAGACUGACGCUCAGGUGCGAAAGCGUGGGGAGCAAACAGG
rnacentral:rRNA from 1 species